rnacentral:lncRNA from 1 species
UAUCGGAUAUUACUCUAUAAUUUUCAACCUAGUAAAGCAAUAUUCGAUAGUUAGUUCGUCCCGUACAAGGACUAAUAUCAUAUGAAAACUCGUGAUUUAUAACUUCUUUUCUACAUUAUUUAUUUACUUUAAACAUCUUACAAAGUGUUAUAUUUUUAUCCUACGGCCUAUCGCCCAACAACGUUUUAAGUAAAUAUACAUCAAAAGGUACGUUGCAAGGACAACAAAAUACUACCGCUGGUUGGCCGCUCCUUCCGUCCAAAAAGUAAAGUGUCUCCCGCCUAAGGGUUACCUGCACACACAAAUGAGUCAUGAGAAACUAGUUUACUCUGUCAAUU